GAUGAACGCUGGCGGCGUGCCUAAUACAUGCAAGUCGAGCGAACGGACGAGAAGCUUGCUUCUCUGAUGUUAGCGGCGGACGGGUGAGUAACACGUGGAUAACCUACCUAUAAGACUGGGAUAACUUCGGGAAACCGGAGCUAAUACCGGAUAAUAUUUUGAACCGCAUGGUUCAAAAGUGAAAGACGGUCUUGCUGUCACUUAUAGAUGGAUCCGCGCUGCAUUAGCUAGUUGGUAAGGUAACGGCUUACCAAGGCAACGAUGCAUAGCCGACCUGGGAGGGUUGUUCGCCCAACUGGAACCUAGAAACGGUUCCGACUCCCACCGGAGGGCGCAGGAGGGGAUCUUCCACCAUGGGCGGAAACCCUCACGAGGCAAGCCGCCUGAGUUAAGAAAGGCCUCGGAUCCGAAAACUCUUUUAAUAGGGAAGAACAUAUGUGUAAGUAACUGUGCACAUCUUGACGGUACCUAAUCAGAAAGCCACGGCUAACUACGUG
rnacentral:rRNA from 1 species